AAAGCAAAAUGUUCUAUUCAUCAUCUUGAAAUAUGAUGCAUGGUUUCCUUUUAUCGCUAACCCUGCUUGAUUGAUGUUUUUUUAUGUUUUUAGGAAUUAAUUUCAGCUAAAGAUUCUGCUGCAGCCAAUGAAGAGCGAUUAUCUGUUGAACUUUCCACUGUUAACAAACUUAAUGAGCUCUAUAAAGAGAGUUCUGAUGAAUGGUCAAGAAAAGCAGCAGACCUAGAGGGUGUGUUAAAAGCAAUGGAGUCAGGACUAAAGCAAGUCGAAGAUGAUUAUAAAGAGAAACUUGAGAAGGAAUUAUCUGUUAGAAAACAGGUUGAAAAGGAGGCUGCUGAUUUGAAAGAAAGCUUGAGAAGUGUGAAGCUGAAAUUGAGACAAGGAAGAAGAGGAAUGAGCUGAGCAAUCUUUCACUCAGCAGUUUCGCUUCUGAACCGAGAAAACAAAGUUUAUUAAUCAACUUGAGAGGCGCAAGGAGGCUCAGAAGAGGUUAUCCGAUGAAGUUGAAAAGCUUAAGAUUGUUGUUGGCAAUCUUCCUGAGGAAACGAAUGUGGCUCAACUUCUUUCUGGAUCCAAUGUCGAUGACUUCAUUGCCCAAAGCUGCCGUUGAAACACGAAAAACAGGUAGGAAAUUGGUCAGGCCUCAUCUAGUAAAACUCGACGAGCCUCAAGGUGACAUAGAAAUGUCUGAUGCUGGACCUUCGAGUGACACAGAAACUCCAAGCAAUUAUGCUCUAUCAUCUCAACCAUUGUCUCCAAAACGCAUUGCUCCUACCUCCACUUCUGAAUCUGUCACACCUGGUGAAAAGGGCUCUGAUGUAGUGGUACCUGUAUUGAAGAAAUCAAAAGGAUCAGAGUCCCCAGAAGAUAGUGCUGAAGAACAGCCUGUUACAACUCCGGAAUUUACUGGCAGUCAUCCAAUCACCGAAGAAUCAUUUGACGGUGGUGAGUUGCCACAAGGCCAAAAUGAGGCAGUCAAUGAAGGUUAAAAUGAGGAAGGUGAGAUUGCUCUUGGGAAAGACGAGGAAACCAAAGAUCCGCAAGACUUGGGUGGUACGAGUCAAGAAGAAUUACAAGGUGACAAAACCGGAAUUACAAGGUGGCUGACAUCAAUUGAUGCUGAUAGCAUGUUUGACGAAAAUAGCAUGCUAGUCCCGAAAAUUCAUGUUGGUGUUUCUGGAACAGCAUUAGCUGCUUCACUCCUGCAAGAUGGUUGGAGUUUGGACAAAAUGUAUGCGAAAUACCAAGAGGCUAUUGAUGCAUUGAGACAUGAACAAUUGGGCAGGAAGGAGUCAGAGAUAAUUUUGCAACAGGUUCUGUACGAGUUAGAGGAGAAAGCAGAAGCCAUAAUAGAUGAAAGAGUGGAGCAUGAAAAGAUGGCUGACGCAUACAGCUUGAAUGAACCAAAAGUUGCAAAACUCCCUGAAUGAAAAUUCCAACUUAGAGAAAACCAUCCUUGAACUGAAG